GAGGCAGCAGAGUAUGGUCGAAAUGAAGAACGGCUCCCAGAACGGGGGAGUCAUGGGAGGAGCGCGGGAGAUGUUCGGGAGCUGGCUGGAGGACGGGCCUCUGAGGAUGGGACGGGAGCUGCUGCUGGACAGAGAGAGGAAGAUGGCGGAGGAGACGUCCGGGCGGCUCACAGGUUAAAGAUUUUCCGCCAUCGCUGCUGCUGGAAACACAGGAGGAAAGAAUCUGAAGAAUGGAGAAACAAAAGUUUUUUGGGUUUUUUCUUUCUUUUUUCUUUUAAUUGACAGAUAUUGUACUGUAUUAUUAUUUUUUAAAACCAAUUCUUAUCUCUUGAUUGUCGCAUCCAAGGUCACGCACAACGCCCUCCUCCAUCCCGUCUGAGGUAACCUCCUCGGUGUUUUAUUCCUGAUGUUACUCCUGCAGAGAAGGAAGGGAGGGAGUCGAUUUGAAGUAGGACUGGGCUUAAGAGGCGGCAGGUUUUAUUAGGAGGACCCAAGAAACUAAAAUCUAAAGAGCUCAAAUAGAUCUUCAGUUUCACAAUCUGUGCAAGUAAUUGAAAAACCCAUCCCUUUUUAAUACAGCUCAUAUUUAUAGUUCUAGUUUUCACUGUGAUUUUGUGUUUGACAAAAAUAUUAUACAAACAAAACAAGAGACAUUAGGGCUAAUUAGCAACGACGAGUUUAGUGCAGAAACAGCAAUGAGAGACUGAUUUAAAAACCAUGCAAACAAUCAAGAUCUGAUGGCCCAUUUUAGAUUGUUGUUAUACGUCUAAAGUUACCCAUAGAGUGUAACCCUGUAUGGACACGCUGUCAGGGGACACUUUGAAGGUUUACCAAGGUCUUAAACUAUUAUGGUUUCUAAACCUCUGAUCCUACAGUUAUAAGUGCUUUUAAUGCUUUCCAUAGGAAGUGCCUGACUUGUUUUCUCUCUUCCGUUUAUUCACACUGCAUCUCAGCUGGCUGAAACAACGACACCUAAAAAUGAGCAUGUUUUCCAUCCCCCAAAAAUCAAAAGAUGCGAUGUGGCCCAAUCCGUCUCUCCUGUUAAAUUACCAAAGUAGGUCUAAUAAGCAGGCGACUGCAGGCUUAUUGUCUGAGCUGGUUGCCGUAGAAAUUAUUCAUUCACCAUCGGAUUGAUGCAUCUUUUUAUUACACUACUUAAUAAGUGCAGUAGUUGUUUGAUGCAUUUAUAUUUAGAUGCCAUAAUGCAUAUUUUUUUGUAAUUCUAUAUUUUUACCCAUUUAGUUUCUGACAUGCUGAGAAUCACAAUUCAAUGAAGCCCAUUUAGCUACUUAGUAUCCUGCUUUGAAUUCAGGCUAAACUGGAUUCAUGGUUGUUGAACUGAGUUUAUGUAGAAAACAGAACAAUGCAUCUAAAAUAUUUUUUUUAUUUAUUUUUUAUUUACAAAAAAAUGGUACUGAAACACUUAAACUGUGAUGAUUUAAAGUAUUUUUCUUUAGUCUACUAUUUUUGUUUUAACAAGUAAAAUGAUGGGAAAAGUGCUAAACUGCUUCGGAAGAGAUGGCAAAAAGCAGUUUAGCUGCGGCUGUGUCCUGUGCUCCGAAAAUUUAAAGAUGAAUAUUUUCUUCUCGAAUGUUCAAAAAAUACAAACAUGGAAAAAAACAAAAAGUAAGAAAUUCAAUCUAAAAUGAAAUUUUUGGUGGUGUUCAGUGAUUUUUUCGAAAUGUUUACAAGUUUCCUGCCAAAGAAAACAGAUAAAUUGUUAAAAUCUCUGAAGGAAAUUUACAGAUAAAAUUUAAGCACACGGCUUCCAUACUGAUUGGGAACUCCACUUCUCUUUCUUUAUGUUCAGCACUUUAAUGUCCCAGACUUUAUUCCAAUGCGUCCCCUGAUGCACAUGAAUAACAAAUGGUGGAUUUUGUGUGACAAUAUGGUUCAAUUAGCUUAAAUGUAUUGUUCUCAGCAAGCUGUUGGAUCACAGCUUCGUUCUUGGAGGUUUAUUUUCAUCCAUUUCAUAAAAAUUCCAUUUAAAUAAUUUUCCUUUUUUGCGAUAUUCAACUUUUUCUAAACCUUUACACCUAUAGGACACUAUCAGGUGUUUUAUAUUUUCUUUCUGACCUGUUUGUUUACAAUCUAAACAGUGCAUGUAUAAGUCGAAUUCUUUCAUGAUCCGUGCUUUACUGUAAGCCUCUUAAAUGCCCCUUAAAUCCCAGAACCUUUCCACGAAGUGAGCCUGUAGGAAGCAGAUUAGAGCCGGCGGUUGAACUGGACCGAUGGGCGGACGAAGGGACGGCUGAGGCGAUGUUGUGUGUGACCUGGGUUGCUUUGGAGAUGUGAGGAUAAUGAGGAGGAAGGUGAACCGGAGCACUGAAUGUGUGCCUGCAGCAACAGUUUGACUGUACACGCCAGCCGACGGAUCGACCCACGGAUCGUCAGACAGGUUGGAUCUGAAACAAACAAGCAUGGAAAAAAAAAAAAAGACAAACAAAA